rnacentral:lncRNA from 1 species
AUGAUGGAGGACGGACUGUAUCUUGACCAUCUUCGCUUUAGCCUGUCCCGCAUCCUUUCUUCUUUCGGGACGGCACCUUGGACUUUCCUUGGUGGGGGGGGACCUCCCGUGUCUUGCUUUUGGUUCACGAGGUUCAGGCAGGCUUGGCUUCAGCCUGGGCACCAGGCCAGGAAGCUAUGGCCCAGGGAGCAGCCACACUCAUAUCCUCUUGAGCUCACCUUUGUGUGCAAAGCCAUUUAUUUAUUUAUUUGUUUGUUUGUUUAUUUAUUUAUUUAUUUAUUUUUGUGCCUCAAGACACUUAUUUAUUGGGGACACAACUCUGCGACAGGGUUUUUUAUUUUUAUUUUAUUUUUAACUUUUUUUUCAGAAGGCAAAAUUUUUCUUCUUUCUUUUUUUCCAGAAAGCAGAAUUAAUGCAGGACUCAACCUUUACACACGGGGACUCGACCAAACAGUCCCGGCUAUGGAAGAUCUGGAGCUGGUACAGCUGUUCUCCUGGGCACCAUAUGAGUUUGCUGGGGCUGCCAUCACAAAGUACUAGGGACCGGGCAACUUCCACACCAGAUAUUUAUUUUCUCACAAUUCUGGAGGCUAGAAGUUUGAACCAAAGUCUUGGCAGGAUUGUUUUUUCUUUUUUUCUUUUUUUUCGGAGGCCUCUCUCUUUGCCUUGUAGAUGGCUGUCCUCUCCGUGUCCUCGCGUGAUCCUCCCUCUGUCUCUGUCCUAAUCUCCUCUUCUUCUAAGGACACCAGUCCUAUUGAAUCAGGGUCCCCCCUAAUGACCUCCUUUAACUCAAUUAGCUCUUUAAAGACCUAUUUCCAAAUACAGUCACAUUCUGAGGUCCUGGGGGUUAGUUAGGGCUCCCACGUGUGAAUUCAGGAGUGGGGGGAACAAGUCAGCCCAUCACGGGCAACAGGCGGGUGAUCUCUAUCAUGGAAUGAACAGAACCCGUCUCUCUGAACAACUGUCUUGACUGGUCCCAGAGGUGGAAGGUCCAGGGACUGUUGGGGUGAUGGGCAGGGGGCGGGGGGCGGGGGGAGUCGCUAAGCCUCAGAGCACCAAAUGCUUCUCUUAUUCCUCCAGCCCAAGUGCCUCAUUGGGUCACAGCCCAGCCCCAGGCACCCCAGAAUUUUUCAAGGCUCCUCAUUACCUACAGCAGAGCCCUGACUCUCUCCACCUGGUGUUCAGGUCUUUUGGUGGUUUAUUCCCCCUCUCCUCUUGAUGCCCUAACACCCUUGUGUAGCGUCCAGCCCCCAUGCUUUUUGUGCAAGUCCGUCACCCACCAGGUCUUUUGCCUCCCCCUCAGUUCCUCCAAAUUCUCCCAGUAUUUUAAGCCCCAGGUCAAAUGUUACCUCUUCCAGGAAGCCUUCCUGGGCUACCCUUGAAAUCUCGUAGGGCCUAAUAGAAGAUUUAUCCACUGCCAAUAUCUGGAGGGCUUGGCAUAGUUAACAUAACCCUCCCGUCAGCCCUACAGUGCAGAUUCCUUUUUCCCAAACCCAUUUUGCAGAUGAGGAAAUGGAGGUGUAGCAAGAUUAAUCCCUGACCUGGUAUUACAGGAGAGGCUGAGCGGAGGACCUGGUGCGCGAACCCCACGAUCUGUGCUCCUAUCCCCUACUCUCUGGUUGGUGAGUGUCUCCGUGAUGGAUGGGCUGACCUUCCUUGCCUGGGUGGCCCUGGCACGAUGCCUCCUCCAGGGUGCAGGAAGCUGGGCAGACACGGGGAGAGGGAGGGAUGAAGGGCGCCAGGGCGGAGGAAGGAGGGUGGCGGGCAGCAAGAGGCUAGGGCGAGAUUGAUCAUCUGCAGAGCUCUGGGUCCGUGUGGCCACGUGGCCGGUGGCUUUUGUGGAGAUACGUCGCGUUGCAGACUCAGCACUUGGCUGGCUUCCUGUCACUGCCGCUGCCCCAGCCUCUGCCAGGAAAAGGGCCUAGUGGGGCCUGGUGCUGCGGGGUAACCCAGGCCGGGUCCUCUGGAGCCUCUGUCGGGCAGCGUGGCUUUCUCCUCCGCGGCGGGGAGGGCGGUGAUCUGUGGCCCGAUGGACUUGGGUUCAAGUUCUGGCUCUGCCGCCUCCUGGGUGCCUUUGGAGUGCCCUUUGACCUCCCUGUGCUCCUCCAUGCUCUACUUUGUCACACCUUUCUCGGGGCGGGGGGGCUGUGUCAGCUCAUGCGGGCGUCCUGGAGGCCGGUGCCGACGUCAUAAGUGGCCAGCGAGUGAGACCCAGAGUAAUAGUAAUGAUGGUGGCAAGGGGGGCACA